rnacentral:rRNA from 1 species
AUUGAACGCUGGCGGCAGGCUUAACACAUGCAAGUCGAGCGGGGACUUCGGUCCUAGCGGCGAACGGGUGAGGAAUGCUUGGGAAUCUGCCUGGUAGUGGGGGAUAACGUUUCGAAAGGAACGCUAAUACCGCAUACGUCCUACGGGAGAAAGGGGGGGAUCUUCGGACCUCUCGCUAUCAGAUGAGCCCAAGUCGGAUUAGCUAGUUGGUGAGGUAAAGGCUCACCAAGGCGACGAUCCGUAGCUGGUCUGAGAGGAUGAUCAGCCACACUGGAACUGGGACACGGUCCAGACUCCUACGGGAGGCAGCAGUGGGGAAUAUUGGACAAUGGGCAAAAGCCUGAUCCAGCCAUGCCGCGUGUGUGAAGAAGGCCUUCGGGUUGUAAAGCACUUUAAGCGAGGAGGAAGGUGUGUUGUUUAAGAGAUGAUACAUUUGACUGUACCGGCAGAAUAAGCACCGGCUAACUCUGUGCCAGCAGCCGCGGUAACAC